AUCUCCAUAGUUUAGUUGGUAGAACGUCGGUCUCCAAAACCGAAAGCAGAUGUUCGAGUCGUCUUGGAGGUGCCA
rnacentral:tRNA from 1 species